AUAGCCACGUUGGAUUCGGCAGAUAACUUUCAAAACAUUUACGAACGCCAUUUACGGUUGGGCUUAUGAUUUAAGAUACUACAAAAGUUUUAUAAUUACUGUUUAAAGACUUAAAUAAGAAUGUCGGUCAAUUUAAUCACUACAAUUAACACAGAGCAUGAAGACAUGAUACAUGAUGCCCAAAUGGAUUAUUAUAGCAGAAAGUUAGCGACAUGCUCAUCUGAUCGCACAGUCAAAGUUUAUGAAGUAGUUGGUGAAACUUACAAACUGAUAGCUGAUUUGCGAGGGUAUGAAAUCUAAUUUG
rnacentral:lncRNA from 1 species